rnacentral:misc_RNA from 1 species
UGCUGCUCUGUUUGGUCUGCUUUUAAAAGAUACAGAAUUUGCAGCUCCAGCGAGUAUACCCAGGUGGAGACUUUGGUCACAGCGUUGUUUCCUUUACCCUUGGAUUGAGUCACAAUGCAUCCUCCAAUUGCUCCUGUUCCUGAAAUUGCUGUUGAUUUUACUAAUGAGGAGCUCUUUAUCUCUUUGGAGAAAAUGAUGGGUGGAUAUCCUCCUCCAGCCAACGUGAUUACUGAUGUCAAUCCAUACAACUNNNNAUACAACUAUGCACCAUCAAAUUUACCAGCUGGAAUUUGGUACUUGAUUCGCUCCAAGGAGAAGGGGGCUAUGGAAGUUGGAUCCUGGAAGGUCAAAGGGGAAGCCUGUAAACUAUUUUGGAACUCUUCCAUCACUGGUUGGAGGACCACCCUUGAAUAUUUUGAGGGCCAAGUGCCUCAUGAGCGUAAAACUGAUUGGGUGAUGCAAGAGUACUGGAUAAUGGGGCCAGUUGAAAACAGCAAGGUGAAGGAAGCCAGUUCACUAUGCAGAGUCUUUCUUAGUGGUGAACAAGGUCCAGAUCAUAAAAAGCAGCAGAAAAAGUCUAGCCUCCAUAUUGCAUGUGAAAUCCUCAUUCACUCAACACAGGCAACUGUUAAAAAGGCUCAUGUUGAUGCUAGCAGUGGUUCCACAAGCAGACCUGAGGUGGAUGGACAUGCUGAAACAGGAAAUUUGGCUGUGGCAGGAGAACCUCCAUUUAAUCUAGUAGAAAACCCACCAGAAAUUGACUAUAUUUCCAGAGGUGACUUCUUGGAACUGCUGGAUCUUGAUAAUCCAGCAUCAUCUUCUUCAAGUUCAGAUGAUUCAAGUUGCUUGACCUCAUCAUCAGAUGAAUGUUUUGACUCGUUGGCUUUGCUGCAACAACUAGAUUCUGAAAUUAACCAACACUCCCUACAGAAGAAUGAAAGUUGUAAGCUCAGCGUCUCUGCAUCUUGCAGACCAAAUGAGGUGGUUAUGGCUCCAGCAUCUCCAGCAGGAUCUUUUGUUAGAGUUGAAGAAAACAAGCCACCUACUGAAGAAAUUCUUGGAACUAAUCCAUCACUUCUACCCAUUUUGGCUAAUGGCUCUAAAGAUCUAGACAACAGAGUUUUACAGCAUGCAGUCAGAAGCCACAAUGCAGGUUACAUGGAUGAAGGUCCAUCAAAUUCUCAUGAUGUAGGUGCAUCUUCCAGUCGCUUGGGUCCAUCUCGAGAUGGAGAAAGGAAGGUUGCUAAGGUCAGGACGAAGAAACAUAAGAAGUAUCUAUGCUUCCUCUUCUAAUUUGACGCCUAUAGCUUCAUAAUCAUAGCUUGUGU